UUAACCUAAUCAAGCUAACCACCCGACUCGGCCUCGAGUCAAUCAUCCGCGGAUAGUCCGCGCACUGGCUGCACCUCAGCCUGGCUGCCGUCGCAGCCUACCGCAGAUCUGACUUAACCAUCUGGCGGCGAACUCAUCGCUCUCACCCAACAACAACUCAAGUCAUGACUUAGCCAUCUGGCGGCGAACUCAUCGCACCUCACCCAACAAUGGUUCAAGUCAUAACUUAGUCAUCUGGCAGCGACCACAUCGCUCUCACCCAACAAUGGUUCAAGUCAACCUAGGCGGCAUCAUCCGAUAAGCUAAUGGGCGAGGAGAACCACACAUACCCAAUUCCAGCUUAUUCUCAUGGCAUCCCGGGCGAGGAGAACCACACAUACCCGUUGAAUCACUGCCAGGCGAGGAGAACCACACAUACCUGCAGUUAUGAUUCGCUUGCCAUCUCUUUUACCACAAUUUCCACCGCUCCAUGUGCGGCCACAUCACUAGGGAUUCCGGAAUCCAUUUCAUAACUCAAGGGUUGGUUUCAAACCCUAUAGCAUUGACCUAUCUAGGUCCAACGUCCUUUUCACCCUAGGUCCAACUGACUCUAGGUUCAACGUCUCUAUCACAUAACCUAGGUUUACUUAACUCUAGGUUCAAUCCAUAACCUAUGUCCUUUAACACUAGGUUAGAUGCCACUCAUGAUUCAUCCUAGGUUCAACAACACUAGGUUCAUUGUCAUUCAUGUCCAACCUAUGUUUUAUACACUAGGUUAGAUGCCACUCGAUCUAGUUCACAUGACUCUAGAUUCAUUCACAACCUAUGUUCUUUAACAC
rnacentral:lncRNA from 1 species